rnacentral:rRNA from 1 species
GAUGAACGCUGGCGGCGUGCCUAAUACAUGCAAGUCGAGCGAACGGACGAGAAGCUUGCUUCUCUGAUGUUAGCGGCGGACGGGUGAGUAACACGUGGAUAACCUACCUAUAAGACUGGGAUAACUUCGGGAAACCGGAGCUAAUACCGGAUAAUAUUUUGAACCGCAUGGUUCAAAAGUGAAAGACGGUCUUGCUGUCACUUAUAGAUGGAUCCGCGCUGCAUUAGCUAGUUGGUAAGGUAACGGCUUACCAAGGCAACGAUGCAUAGCCGACCUGAGAGGUUGAUCGGCCACACUGGAACGGAGACACGGUCCAGACUCCUACGGGAGGCAGCAGUAGGGAAUCUUCCGCAAUGGGCGAAAGCCUGACGGAGCAACGCCGCGUGUGUGAUGAAGGUCUUCGGAUCGUAAAACUCUGUUAUUAGGGAAGAACAUAUGUGUAAGUAACUGUGCACAUCUUGACGGUACCUAAUCAGAAAGCCACGGCUAACUACGUG